GACGAACGCUGGCGGCGUGCUUAACACAUGCAAGUCGAACGAAGUUGCGAACGGGUGAGUCACGCGUAUGUAACUGCCUGGUAGCGGGGGAUAACUAUUGGAAACGAUAGCUCAUACCGCAUCCUACCAUCUGGUCCUGCGUUGUAUUUGCUAGUUGGUGGGGUAACGGCUCACCAAGGCCACGAUUCAUAGCCGACCUGGGAGGGUGAUCGGCCACACGGGGACUUGGACACGGCCCAGACUCCGACGGGAGGCAGCAGUAGGGAAUCUUCGGCAAUUGACGGAAGUCUGACCCAGCAACGCCGCGGGAGUGAAGAAAGUUUUCGGAUCGUAAAGCUCUGUUGUAAGAGAAGCGGUAUCUUACCAGAAAGGGACGGCUAACUACGUGCCAGCCGCCGCGGUAAUUC
rnacentral:rRNA from 1 species